UACGUAGGGUCCGAGCGUUGUCCGGAAUUACUGGGCGUAAAGAGCUCGUAGGUGGUUUGUCGCGUUGUUCGUGAAAACUCACAGCUUAACUGUGGGCGUGCGGGCGAUACGGGCUGGCUAGAGGCAGGCAGGGGAGAACGGAAUUCCUGGUGUAGCGGUGAAAUGCGCAGAUAUCAGGAGGAACACCGGUGGCGAAGGCGGUUCUCUGGGCCUGUACUGACGCUGAGGAGCGGAAGCGUGGGGAGCGAACAGG
rnacentral:rRNA from 1 species